rnacentral:rRNA from 1 species
AGAGUUUGAUCCUGGCUCAGGAGAACGCUAGCGGCAGGCUUAAUACAUGCAAGUCGUGGGGCAGCAUGUCCCGCAGCAAUGCGGGAUGAUGGCGACCGGCAAACGGGUGCGGAACACGUACACAACCUUCCUUUAAGUGGGGAAUAGCCCGGGGAAACCCGGAUUAAUACCCCGUAAUAUUAUGAAAUGGCAUCGUUUUAUAAUUAUAGCUCCGGCGCUUAAUGAUGGGUGUGCGGCUGAUUAGGUAGUUGGCGGGGUAACGGCCCACCAAGCCAGCGAUCAGUAACUGGUGUGAGAGCACGACCAGUCACACGGGCACUGAGACACGGGCCCGACUCCUACGGGAGGCAGCAGUAAGGAAUAUUGGUCAAUGGACGCAAGUCUGAACCAGCCAUGCCGCGUGGAGGAUGAAGGUCCUCUGGAUUGUAAACUUCUUUUAUUUGGGAAGAAAUCCAUAGUUUCUACUAUGGUUGACGGUACCAGAUGAAUAAGCACCGGCUAACUCCGUGCCAGCAGCCGCGGUAAUACGGAGGGUGCAAGCGUUAUCCGGAUUCACUGGGUUUAAAGGGUGCGUAGGUGGGUUGGUAAGUCAGUGGUGAAAUCCCCGAGCUUAACUUGGGAACUGCCAUUGAUACUAUCAAUCUUGAAUACCGUGGAGGUCAGCGGAACUGUCAUGUAGCGGUGAAAUGCUUAGAUAUGACAUAGAACACCAAUUGCGAAGGCAGCUGGCUACACGAAUAUUGACACUGAUGCACGAAAGCGUGGGGAUCAAACAGGAUUAGAUACCCUAGUAGUCC